CUGUAUUGUAUUUCUCCUUGCCUGUACUAGUUAAUAAUGGUAUGCAUUUUGUUAUUAGAUUUUUUCCUAUUAAUAGAAGUACACUUUCUUUCGUAUGUUAUACGAUGUAUUGCAUGGCCUUACAAGCAUGUAAGCUUAGGUCCUAUGAUUAAAUAUACACUGACUAUCAUGGUUGAUUUCUUAAAACUCUUUUGCUUCUAUGUAUGCAGUUGGAAGUCAAUUAAUGGCAAAUGCAGCAAUGGGUUGCGACCACAAGCAAGCUGAGGAGGUAAUAUACAUGUUUUCUUGGCUGAAUAUUUACAUUAGUGUGUACUAUCAAGGACAGAUAGUAAUGCUUUGCUCAUUUGGUUGCUACAUGGUUAACUUGUGUCCAGGAAACUUGAGCUCCUGAUUCCAGUAUAUAUUAUUAAUUAGUAAUUCAAACAGAUCAUUAUAGUUCUUUAGAAGUGUGCUUUUGUGUCCAUCGGCCAUGAAUUUGUAGAGAGGUCAGUUGAAUAAAUAUGGUUACAAAUAUAAACUUCAAUUGGUUCAUCUUUCUUUCAUGUACACGAUAGACUCUACCAUGUAGAGAAAUGAUUUUCAUUGGAUUCCACGCUCACAAAUUUCAUUUGAUUCAUUUCUCAUAAUUGGAUCCUCUUUCUUUCAUGUACAUGAAGUAUUUCAGUUUGUUUGUUUGUUUGUCAAAAGCCUUGGUUUAUUUUUCUAGGCUAAUUCAAGUUGUUGUGCGAAUCAUUUAUGUAACUCAACUUUAAUAGCUCCUGCAAAGAGGGAGCAGAAAUUAAAAGGCUUGUUUGUGCAAUGCUUCAUUGAAAAUCACAAUACUCCCAAUACACCCUUCAUCAGAUUCUUCAAUAGGAGAAAUGUAGUUCAGCUUCGUGUUCUGGAUGCAGGAAGUCUGUAGUCAUAGUUGUUGUCAUUGCUCUAAGGAACACGGUACCACGCAAAACCACAAAAUGAUAUCGUCAUUUAUAGAUGUCCAGAUUCAUUAUCCUAUUAUGUUGUGCCAACUUCAUAUAGGAACUCAAAAUAAAUCAACUUAUAUCCAAGGUCAGUCUCAAUAUCAGGGCCAACUAGAGACUGCACUAGCACACUGAAUCUGCAGGUUCCAAUACUAAUGUUUAAUUGUAUUACUUUGAAGAAGCCAAGGUAUACGACAUACGAAAUUUUAAGAAGCACAACUAAACACUUGAUGCGUUCUGGUAGAGAAAUAGUACCAAGUGAAAAUAAGAUGCUAUAAUUUUGCAUAUGUGCUUGUUCAGUACAGUAGCUUCAUAAUUUGCUUAUUUAAUGUUCAGUGUGUGAUCGUGACCUUGUGCUUGUGCUUCAAAAUGUAGAAAACAAUCAAAAUGGUCAUCAAUUCUGUUCGCUUUACUUUGGUACAGGAAUAGCGUCACUUUUGUUGUACAAGAUAGGCACACCUACUUGCUGUUAAUAUUUGUACAGACUUUGCACACUAUAUCUGGAUGAGAAGUAAGAUAAGCUUGCUACUGUCAAGAUGAUAAAAAAUGGACAUGUUGAUGUCCAGGAUAUGUUCUCUACUAAAGUAGAGAUUACUCUAGAGAUGUUACUAGUUGCUCUAUGUUUCAGAACAUAUGUGGCUGUUGUAUGUCGGCAUGCGGAUGUUGUAUGUGAUUGUUGUAACAUCUUCCCGUUAAUAUUUGUACAGACUUUGCACACUACAUUUUGAUGAGAAGAUAAGCUUGCUACUAUUAAGAUGAUAAAAAAUGGACAUGUUGAUGUCCAGGACAUGUUCUCUACUAUAGAAGAGAUUACUCAAGAGAUGUUACUGGUUGCUCUAUAUUUUAGAACAUAUGUGGCUGUUAUAUGCGAUUGUUGUAACAUCUUCGUUGAGUUUUGACUGCAACUAUUAUAUGUAACAUCUUCUGAUCUAUUGCAGGUUUCCCAAAGGUGCACAAGUUCACUAAGAUUUGGAAGAUCUUUAAGCUGCUAAAGAUUUGGAAGACCUAAAAUUAAGUUGGUGGAGUGAUAAUGACCUGUGUCUUGUUUGUUGAACUUGAGACUUGCUCUGCUCAUUUUGGUGGUUGUUAAUUAGCUCAUUUAGGUUGUGUGGCACACAUCUAGAAACAUAUGUACAUCUCUAGUGGCACUACUUUAUUUUUGUUGUGUGGCAAACAUAUAUAUGUACUUCUUUUGUGGCACAACCUCUUUAUAUAUGGUCGUUAUGAUUAUCGAAUGAAGUUUAAGGUUUUCGAUGAGGCCUAUAUGUUACUUUGAAGUGCAUGUAUAAAUUGUGUGCUAUGUCCUGAUUGCGUAGAUAUAUAUAGAG
rnacentral:lncRNA from 1 species